rnacentral:lncRNA from 1 species
UCAGGACUCAGAGCUUUUAUCCAGCCUUGAGCUAUUCUUGCUCUGCGUGGGGGAGGGAGGGCUGUAGGCUGCUUCGUCUUCCGAGUAAGGAUGUGAAAAUGAAGAGGAGCCUGGUCUGAGGCUGAGGGGGGAGACAGCAGAUGAGUGCGUGGCCCAGGAGCCAGAGGAAAAGGAGCUGAAGAAAGAGCCUGGUGUCACAGAAAAUAGAACAUUAACGACGUCUGCUGUGUUGUAUCUCCAAGCAGGGAAACAAGGCUCUGUGGGGGACAGGGCAGUGAAAAGGACCUUUCACAGAGAUUACUCAUAAGAAACAAGGCUAAAUCUCCCCAGAGGAAAACUACAAGGGUCCUACCGCCGGGGUAGUGACGAGCACAUGCACGCGUGAGUCUGGUUGCUCUCAUCUUUGAAUUCUCUGCUGAAAUAGCACGUCCUCACAGGGAACUUGCCCAACCACCCUCUUCAAAGCAGAAGCCCCAGGUUCAUUUCUGACCUAGCAUCCCAUUUAUUUUCUUCAGAACAUGUGCUAUAAUAUGUAAAUAGCUUCUUUAUUGUUCACUGUUAAAUUUUUCUAUCUAGAAUGAAAUGUGUUUAUUGCAGGAAAAUGGAAUCUUGUAAGAACGGUUUGUCCAGAUCACUUCGGGAUCCCCAGCACCUGGCACGUGGUGGCACCCACUAGCUUCUCAAUGAAAGCUUGUUCAAUAAAUGAAUGACCCCCACUAUUGGUGAGAGUGUCUGAAUUUAGACACCGUUUAA